rnacentral:tRNA from 1 species
ACAUCGGUAGCACAGUGGUUAGUGCAGUCUGCCGGAAACAGAAAGACACGGGUUCAAUUUCCGUCCGAUGUC